UGCAUAUCAAAAGCGGAGGAAAAGAAACCAACAGGGAUUGCCUCAGUAACGGCGAGUGAAGCGGCAAAAGCUCAAAUUUGAAACCCUCGGGAUUGUAAUUUGAAGAUUUGGCAUUGGAGAAAGCUAACCCAAGUUACUUGGAAUAGUACGUCAUAGAGGGUGACAACCCCGUCUGGCUAACCGUUCUCCAUGUAUUGCCUUAUCAAAGAGUCGAGUUGUUUGGGAAUGCAGCUCAAAGUGGGUGGUAAACUCCAUCUAAAGCUAAAUACUGGUGAGAGACCGAUAGCGAACAAGUACUGUGAAGGAAAGGUGAAAAGAACUUUGAAAAGAGAGUGAAAUAGUAUGUGAAAUUGUUGAUAGGGAAGGAAAUGAGUGGAGAGUGGUUUAGGUUUCAGCCUUCUUUCGAGGGGGUGUACUACCAACGCCGAGUCAUUGUCAGCGAGACAGGGGUUAUAAACGGGUUGCCUUCUGGCUUCUCACCUAACCCCUCCACUGCCGACAACGACAUAAUCCACCCAUUUCACCCGUCUUGAACAACGG
rnacentral:rRNA from 1 species